UUAGAUACCCUGGUAGUCCACGCCGUAAACGAUGGAUACUCGCUGCGAGCUAAAGAUUGUUCGUGGCUUAGGGAAACCGAUAAGUAUCCCACCUGGGGAGUACGCCGGCAACGGUGAAACUCAAAGGAAUUGACGGGGGCCCGCACAAGUGGUGGAGCAUGUGGUUUAAUUCGAUGAUACGCGAGGAACCUUACCUAGGCUAGAAUGCGCGUGACCGGCUCAGAGAUGAGCCUUUCCUUCGGGACACAAAGCAAGGUGCUGCAUGGCCGUCGUCAGCUCGUGCCGUGAGGUGUUGGGUUAAGUCCCGCAACGAGCGCAACCCCUAUGUUUAGUUGCCAGCAUGUAAUGAUGGGGACUCUAGACAGACUGCCUGCGCAAGCAGUGAGGAAGGCGGGGACGACGUCAGGUCAUCAUGGCCCUUACGCCUAGGGCGACACACGUGCUACAAUGGACGGUACAGCGGGUAGCUACACAGCGAUGUGAUGCCAAUCUCGAAAAGCCGUUCUCAGUUCGGAUCGGAGUCUGCAACUCGACUCCGUGAAGCUGGAAUCACUAGUAAUCGCGCAUCAGCCAUGGCGCGGUGAAUACGUUCCCGGGCCUUGUACACACCGCCCGUCAAGCCAUGAAAGUCUGGUAGACCUGAAGCUGGUGCUCCGCAACGAAGCCAGUUAGGGUAGAACAGGUAAUUAGGGCU
rnacentral:rRNA from 1 species